GUUCUGGCUAAUGGGACGGAGCUCUGGUAAGUCAUGAGUUAAAUCUCUAAAUGUUUUUGAGACCGGAGACUUUUGGUUACAAGUUAUGUUUCUCUGGGUGGUUCUGAGACCGGGGAUUUCUGGUUACAAGUUAUGUUUCUCUGGGUGGUUCUGAGACCGGGGAUUUCUGGUUACAAGUUAUGUCUUAGUUUGUAAACUAAAUAAAAGACCACAGCUUUUUUAUCCAUAUUCUGUCCAUAUUCUUAUCCAUAUUUAUCCAUAUUCUGUCUGUUUGUUGUAUUCAUAUAUGUGUAAAUACUGAUAUGUUCUGUUGCUUUACUUAUUUGGGUGUUAGAAUUAACCCCUGCAGUGCACAUGCAUUUUUUUAUGUAAUGAAAGAACACGGAGCUGUUUCCCCACCAUGGAACACAGGCAGCAAACUGUAAAAUCUUUAUUAUUGUUUUGCAGAUACAAAGACACGCAGAAUAAAGCUUUCAUGCAUGGAGUGUUCAUUCUUUGUACUGUUCCACAUACAGCCUGCUCAUGUGCAGAGAAAAGACGAACCCCUCCCAUGCUACACGGGUGACUCAGAGCACAGUCUGCAGCAACUUUAUCUGUAGUGUGACAGCCCCAGUCCGGGACAAUGCACUCGUUGGGAAUAUCUGGGGAAACCAGAAGAAAUAAAACCUGCUUUUAAAGGCACGAACAAUCUG